rnacentral:rRNA from 1 species
GAUGAACGCUGGCGGCGUGCCUAAUACAUGCAAGUCGAGCGAACAGAUGAGGAGCUUGCUCCUCUGACGUUAGCGGCGGACGGGUGAGUAACACGUGGAUAACCUACCUAUAAGACUGGGAUAACUUCGGGAAACCGGAGCUAAUACCGGAUAAUAUAUUGAACCGCAUGGUUCAAUAGUGAAAGACGGUUUUGCUGUCACUUAUAGAUGGAUCCGCGCCGCAUUAGCUAGUUGGUAAGGUAACGGCUUACCAAGGCAACGAUGCGUAGCCGACCUGAGAGGGGGAUCGGCCACACUGGAACGGAGACACCGUCCAGACUCCUACGGGAGGCAGCAGUAGGGAAUCUUCCGCAAUGGGCGAAAGCCUGACGGAGCAACGCCGCGUGAGUGAUGAAGGUCUUCGGAUCGUAAAACUCUGUUAUUAGGGAAGAACAAAUGUGUAAGUAACUAUGCACGUCUUGACGGUACCUAAUCAGAAAGCCACGGCUAACUACGUG